rnacentral:rRNA from 1 species
GACGAACGCUGGCGGCGUGCUUAACACAUGCAAGUCGAACGGAAAGGCCCUGCUUUUGUGGGGUGCUCGAGUGGCGAACGGGUGAGUAACACGUGAGUAACCUGCCCUUGACUUUGGGAUAACUUCAGGAAACUGGGGCUAAUACCGGAUAGGAGCUCCUGCUGCAUGGUGGGGGUUGGAAAGUUUUGGCGGUUGGGGAUGGACUCGCGGCUUAUCAGCUUGUUGGUGGGGUAGUGGCUUACCAAGGCUUUGACGGGUAGCCGGCCUGAGAGGGUGACCGGCCACAUUGGGACUGCGAUACGGCCCAGACUCCUACGGGAGGCAGCAGUGGGGAAUAUAGCACAAUGGGCGGAAGCCUGAUGCAGCAACGCCGCGUGCGGGAUGACGGCCUUCGGGUUGUAAACCGCUUUCGCCUGUGACGAAGCGUGAGUGACGGUAAUGGGUAAAGAAGCACCGGCUAACUACGUG